rnacentral:rRNA from 1 species
AUUGAACGCUGGCGGCAGGCCUAACACAUGCAAGUCGAACGGUAACAGGAAGAAGCUUGCUUCUUUGCUGACGAGUGGCGGACGGGUGAAUAAUGUCUGGGAAACUGCCUGAUGGAGGGGGAUAACUACUGGAAACGGUAGCUAAUACCGCAUAACGUCGCAAGACCAAAAAGGGGGACCUUCGGGCCUCUUGCCAUCGGAUGUGCCCAGAUGGGAUUAGCUAGUAGGUGGGGUAACGGCUCACCUAGGCGACGAUCCCUAGCUGGUCUGAGAGGAUGACCAGCCACACUGGAACUGAGACACGGUCCAGACUCCUACGGGAGGCAGCAGUGGGGAAUAUUGCACAAUGGGCGCAAGCCUGAUGCAGCCAUGCCGCGUGUAUGAAGAAGGCCUUCGGGUUGUAAAGUACUUUCAGCGGGGAGGAAGGGAGUAAAGUUAAUACCUUUGCUCAUUGACGUUACCCGCAGAAGAAGCACCGGCUAACUCCGUG